rnacentral:rRNA from 1 species
GACGAACGCUGGCGGCGUGCUUAACACAUGCAAGUCGAACGGAAAGGCCCCUUUUGGGGUACUCGAGUGGCGAACGGGUGCGUAACACGUGAGUAACCUGCCCUUGACUUCGGGAUAACUUCAGGAAACUGGGGCUAAUACCGGAUAGGAAUCCUUGCUGCAUGGUGGGGGGUGGAAAGCUUCGGCGGUUUUGGAUGGACUCGCGGCCUAUCAGCUUGUUGGUGGGGUAGUGGCUUACCAAGGCUUUGACGGGUAGCCGGCCUGAGAGGGGGACCGGCCACAUUGGGACUGAGAUACGGCCCAGACUCCUACGGGAGGCAGCAGUGGGGAAUAUUGCACAAUGGGCGGAAGCCUGAUGCAGCAACGCCGCGUGCGGGAUGACGGCCUUCGGGUUGUAAACCGCUUUCAGCAGGGGCGAAGCUUGUGGUGACGGUACCUGCAGAAGAAGCACCGGCUAACUACGUG